AGUGAACGCUGGCGGUAGGCCUAACACAUGCCAGUCGAACGGCAGCACAGUAAGAGCUUGCUCUUACGGGUGGCGAGUGGCGGACGGGUGAGGAAUACAUCGGAAUCUACUUUUUCGUGGGGGAUAACGUAGGGAAACUUACGCUAAUACCGCAUACGACCUACGGGUGAAAGCAGGGGAUCUUCGGACCUUGCGCGAUUGAAUGAGCCGAUGUCGGAUUAGCUAGUUGGCGGGGUAACGGCCCACCAAGGCGGCGAUCCGUAGCUGGUCUGAGAGGAGGAUCAGCCACACUGGAACUGAGACACGGUCCAGACUCCUACGGGAGGCAGCAGUGGGGAAUAUUGGACAAUGGGCGCAAGCCUGAUCCAGCCAUACCGCGUGGGUGAAGAAGGCCUUCGGGUUGUAAAGCCCUUUUGUUGGGAAAGAAAAGCAGCAGGUUAAUACCCCGCUGUUCUGACGGUACCCAAAGAAUAAGCACCGGCUAACUUCGUG
rnacentral:rRNA from 1 species